UCCCUAACCUUUGCCUUAACUGCUUCAAUGUCAUCUCUUAGUUCCUGGAAUAGGCAAUGGUCCCUUCUGCCUCAGGACUCUGCAACGCCAAGACUCUAAUAGGCAAGGUGACUCAAGAGAGAAAAAAAGAGGCUCUAAAAAUGUAAUUCUGAAAAGUAUACUUCUGAAGUAAAUAUACCUGUCCUCAUGAAGAGAUAGAAAGGGCGGUAUCGUGGAGGCUCUAAGGCUGGUGAGGACCAACCAGUUGGGCUGUCUCAGGUUUAAACAGCUGUGCUCAAAGAAAGGAAGAAUAAGUAAAUGACCUAGUAUAAACAUAAAAUACGCACAGGAAACUUCAUGAGGAGAGUUAGAAAGGUUAAGACUCAGAAAGAAUGAAAGCUUUUGAAAAAUGCCAAAGAGAACAGGAUGCUUUUGAAGUUCACAUCAGUGUGGGGCGUUGAGUGGGAGUGAGGUUGUGAGGUCAACCAACAACAACAAAACAUCCCACUCUUGCCGGUCUUCUUUGCCUCCGUCUCCCGGGUCAGGCAGAAUGUUUUUCAGCCGAGGAAGGGUGGAAGGACAACCCGGAAGAGAAUUGGAAGGCCAAGAUACGGAAAAAGGUCAUCAGAGACCACUGUUCAGAUUUUCAGGUCUCGACACUUUGGUCCAGUUCCUAUGGAGACGUGAAUCGCUGAGAGGCAGCCCUUGAGGGAGCAGAGAUGGUGGGGGAAAGGCCAGCUGUCCCGAACCGGGUCCUCGCCAACUCCAGAAUUUUCAAAGGCCCGUGAUUCCAAGCCAAAAACUGUAUUAUGGAAUGGGGGUGACGGCACGGGGUGCCAGAUGAGGAAUGGAAAGAGAUAAGUGCCAACACUUGGAUCCUCUCCUGAGCAACUAAGUCACCGUUUUGAGGCAGUUUUUAGUCUCUUAGGAUGACUUUGUCUGGGAAGUUUGUCAUCCCUUGAAGUAAAUAAAUUUCUAUCAGGUCCU